UUUACAGACGAAGUUAUAAUUUCAUAACUGAUACAAACCUCAUCCGAAUAAUUGACCAUGAUCUUGCGCAAGACACCAUAUACCGUGAAAUCUAUACCUAGACGAUUGAAAUCAAUCGAUUUUAUCGCGAAUUUUUUAUCUGGGCUAUAAUUCAAUCGCGUCCUUUCUCGGCUCAGGUCAAUUACCCCGUACAUUUCACUCCGGAAAUGGUAAAUUUCGGGAGCGAGGAAAAUUUCGACAAGAAUCUCGUCAAUUAGUCUCGAUACGGAGCGUACACCUUGGUCCAGAUUUUAACGAAUAACGAAUCGUCGUGCGCCUCGUGGGUGCGACCUGGUCAACGGGAGUCACACCUAGGGAAAUAAAUAACAAUAGAGAGGCCCAUUGAAUUCGGUGGAAGCCGGAGAUAAGUACGUGCAUUGCAUACCGGUACGAUGCUGUCGCGGUAACGGGGAUGUGGGAGGACGACACGCCUCGUCAAGGAUCGCCGCCGGGAUUGCCGCCGGGUUCCUCUUCGUUAUUUUCUCCGUCUCGCGUUCGACCGAAUUGAGUCGAUUCGCGCUGGAGCCGCAGGAAACGAACCCUGAAAGCCUCGUGAGAAGACAAGGGCGAGUCUCAUAGGACGUACAUCCGUAUUUUGACAGGGUCGAUGAAGACGCGGCACGAUAUCCUCCGCUCGACUCUCGUCUCUCAGCUAUCGUGAUUUCAUCUUCGACAUCAAAGCCGGCGACUGGCGCGGAGAUGAAAUUCUGCAGCGCCUACCGGCGCUAAUCUCACUCGUGGAUCUCGUUCGGCAUCUGGGAGAAUCGAGCGGCGCACGGUGCGGACGAGGGAUUUUUAAUUGGAAUUUUUAUUGGAUGAUUUUGAGACAUGUGGAGAAAGAAAAUUUUACUUAAUUUGUCGCCCGUAUACUUACGGCUACGAGUGAGGGUAUACCGGUGAUACGCGGACGCGCGAGUUGCGCCGCAUUUUUUAUAGAAAAGGUAACUACUAUACGAGCUAAGCAAUUUCGUAGACGGAGAGCCGGUGGAACUUCAUAACGGCGAGAUCGACGAUUCACAUCGACUUUUAUCCGACUCCCCGAUUCACGGCACGCUGUAAUUUUAUUAAUUUUUUCAAAUUUAUCCCAUCCAGUAUAUUAUACCUUAAUUCAUUUGGGUCCCGCGUACACUGUACGGAAAGCUCUGACUUAUACUUUGGCAAGAGGUCGGUCCGCGCGGCGCGUCGCGUGCCGACUUAAUUGACGUUAUCUAACCGAGGCCCGGUGAUCUAUGCGUUUCGUCGCAGCUGCGGCGUCUAAGAAACGACACCGAUUCAACUUGCGGUCAAUUAAAAAAAACCGAAUAAAUGAGAGAAACAAAAAAACGGUAAAAAAAUUAUCAACUCUACCCAGCGUAACUCGUACAAAUGGGACUCAACGCGUACAGAAGUUGCUACCGAACUUACUUAUCUACCUCUACCGAUCUGACCACGAACACGCGGUGUGCGUGUAAAAAAACCUGCACACUUCGGGAAAAUCGGUCCCUGUGUAUACACCUCACGUUUCUACCUUAAUUAUAAUCGAUAAAAGUUUUUAUUGUUACGCUUCUCGCCCCUCCGUCCUCUCCUUUGUUUCUUUUUUCGUUUCGAUUUUUUUUUGUUUUUAUUUUUUUUUUUUUCUCAUUUCGUUUUCUUCAUUUUCGUUUCAUACCGACCACAGGGAAUACUCGGGGCAUAUUUCGUUUCUUGGCGCACCACGAUUAUUUCUCGGACACUAUAGUUUCUGAUUGCCCCGCGUGCAUGCCCGUGGCCAACUUGAUCACCGCAGUUGAAACGUUGUCUCUGCCCAAAAUCUGUGGGAACCCUCCACGGCACAAUGGCGGGCUUAUUAAAAUUCCAGGUUGUAUUUUAUGUGCGCGAGCAAGAACGAGUACAAGACGACUGGGGUUAAGGAGGAGGGGGAGGGCCACGCGACUGCUCCGAACUCAACGUAAUCAAGCCGCAUCUUUUUACACCCACGCAACUACACAUACUCCCCGAUCCUUCUCACCGCGUGAUACGGAUACGCGGGUUUUAUUUGUACACCGUAAUACGUUUACCACUUGGAUGAAAAAUCAGUGCGAAAUGUCUAUGGAAUCUGAAGAAGAUCGGCUGUACUUUCAUUUCACAACGAACAUUUGGGAGGGUGGUUUAAAGUUUUCAUGAUCGAAUGAUUUUUCUCUAUAACGGAUGUAACGGAAAGCCAAUGGGCUUUCGUAAAAGUGAAUCGUAAAUUUUCUUAGGGUAUGACCGCUGUCCGGUGGUGGAAUUAAAAGUAUUUGGGUUAACGCGAUAAGCUGUCGGUGAUGUUGCUGCCGCUUUGGCCGUGGGUACAAAACGUGGCUCAUUACCGUGUAGAUUGUGAUCUAGAAAAUUAAUUACGAAGUUUCAUAAGCAGGUUCAAAGGCUAGAAGUUAGAGUAGCGACGGGACCGCGCUGGAUUCAGUUUUAUCGUACUUUGUCUGUGAUCCUGAAGACGCACCUAUACUAUCCACGGAAUAUUCUGACAUCGCGACGCAUAAUUGCCCUAAUUGGUUCGCCUCGCGCUGCAUAAGCGCGUCGAAAUUCACUCGGAGCAAAACAACCGGCAAAGUGAUAAAAACUUUGUUAAAUAGGUGCGCGUAACCGGCAAUUAUGAGACGCGGGAUAAUGGAAAGGAAUUGAAGAAACGAGCUGAGCUCAUGAUUUUUUUUUCAUCUAGAUUCCGGAGAGAAGAAAAUUUACAGAAUUUUUCAGUCACCUCAUUCCCGAACGCGCGGAACCGUUAGACGAUAACGAAUAAGCGGAAAAAAGAAAAACGGAAUCUCUCGAUUACCACAUUCGCGCCUCUCAUUAUUUGCUGGUGUGAUUUUUUUUUUUUAAUUUUUUUCUCCCAUCUUCUUGUCAACCCAAUUAUUGUAACGUCGACUCCGAUGAAAUAUUGGCCGCUGUUUCGAGGAGGAGAUGAGGGGAGCACGCGAUGUGGAGUAUUCCGGAAACGUAGGAAUGUCGCGGUGGCGCCUGUAGGCCCACGCGACGCUGCGGUCCACCGCAAAUCAAUUCACACUCGGUCCUCUCGCAUCUCUGGUAGGUAUAUAAGAUCUCUUAGCCGUGGCAUAUGGAGGCAAAAAGGCGCGGCGAGAUGACGCAUAAUACCGCGGCUCAACUUUGACAAUGGCACACUAUGUCCGACCGGAGAGUUAUCUGAUCUACUUAACACGAUUUCCUAACAGAUUUUUCUAUUUCUCUCGUAUUCCUAUUCAGCUACGUUGCGCAAAGAGAACACGCGUUCGGAUACCAACCCUAUUCUGUUCGAUCGAAUUUAUAGAGAGCGGACCGGAGUUAAAUUGAAAAAAAAAAAAAGAACGAAAGAAAAUAAACUGACUGAUGCACCACAGCUGAAUCAUUCUCGAGUUUAAAUUCUGAAUCGCAAGUGAUCGCCGCGACGCGGACAAAGGACAAGCUGACGCGCUUGUAACGGACUCGAAAAUAACCAUCGAACGAGGAAAGAAGAUAGCACCGAACGCUGCCCCAAUUUUGGGAGGCGAGGAAUUUGUUGCGAACGAUGAUAAAGUUUUUUUUCCUAUACCAAUUCUUGCCCCAAACGCGACGAGUCAGUUUUAUGAUUGCAUCGGCGCGGAAUCGUUUUAAUUCCUGGACCACCGCUACCUGCGCAAAGGAUGGGUAAUUGUGUAGCAGUUUACGACGUCGAUAACUAAGGCCAACGCAAAAACUAAUACCCAGCAAAUAGCGGGCAUUACUUAUACACUUGCACAGACUCCGCUGCUGCCGCUGCUGCUGACGCUGCCGCCGCUGAUGCAGGUCGACUGACUCAUCGACGCCUGUUUCGUCAUCGCGUUCGACGGACUCCCAAACCGUAACCAACUGUACGAGAUGCUGGACCAACUGGACCGCCAAUAUUGCAUUACGUACGCCGUUCAUUUAUUUUAAACCUUUGAGGUGUUCCAGGAUGAAACGGAGAUUUGGGUAGAUGGUCGAAAAUCGGCGACGCGUGAUUCGAUACCGGGUUGAUUUAAUUUUUUUCCCACGCAGGUCGAAUGACUUCUCCGAUCCGUUCUCGCGUCUGGUCAUCAUUCCUUUUGUAUAAUUGGAGGGAGUGAGAUCGGCGCGCAACCGUUUAGGAUCGAUAUCGUUUCCGGGGGCUGGACGAUCCCCGUUACGGGUAAUGGUCAGAUAAGGACUAUUACGAAAAUCGGAGCAUUUCAUUCCAUUGGUCCAAUUAACUCGCUCGGCGAGGCUCAAUCAGGAAAUUCCUCGGUAAAGAUUUAUCUGUCCUUCGCGGUGGGCCACACGCAAAAUCAAUAGGUUAAAACGUAAACUCCCGCCUCCCAGUCUUCGACACUAGAAUUUCGACGUCCCACAACGGAGGUGGUUCGAGGUCCGGAGGUCUGAUUCUAUACCUGCACCACUCAUAUCCGUGAUGUCUUAAUUUCCCAAUUCCCCAAUUCCCUAAAUCCCUAAUUGAGAUUGAUGGAGGAUGAGUCCAUGAAAAUUGGCGGGUUCACCGCAAGAAACACUGGGGCUCAGCGUAAAAAGCGCCAAAGGGUAAUACCGUCCGCUGCUGCGGUCCCUUGUAUACGAAAACCAGGUGGCAAAAAUUAAUCUCCGAAAACGCAUCGCCGUUAAUUUAUAAUAAAUAAAACCUCCCGAAUAAACAUUGGAAUUCCUGAGCGCGCUGUGCACUGUGAGAACGUAGCGAAUAGUCCGUCGGCAAUUUAUAUAUAGGCAUAUAUUAUGUGCCAUACGUAUACGCAUAGGUACGUCAAAGGAAAUCAAUCGUGGAGAAGAGAAGAGAAGAGAAGAGAGCGAACGUUUCAUAUUUCGUAUUCAGCUCACGAGCACGUGGUACGUCUCAAUUUAAGCACAUUUACGGGUCAGAGUAAAAGAAUGCGACGCUAGUUUAGGUAUGCCGCUGCGAUCGUCGCACAGGGUGCCGCAAAGACCGGCGCGCGGUCUAUGGAGUCGAAUAAUCGAAGAGCGAUUUUUAUUUUUUCACCUUUCCUUUCGUCAUCGUUCUUCGUCGAUGUGGAUGUGGCGUAUAGUCGAAGGACAGAAAAACUACAAAAUUAAACAGAAGAUUUUUAUAUCACAGUUACAAUUAGCCCAAUCAAAUCGGCUGCGUAUCUCUUGGGCAUGUCAUUUUUUAAUGACCCAUAAAUGCAGUCCAACGAUUACGUACCAACAGCCGCCAGGUGCGGACUUCUGACUAUGGGACAGGAAUGAAGUAAAACAACAAAAAUUAAUGAAUAAAUAAAUACCCAUAUCUCUGUGUCAUUGCGUAAUUACAUCCGAUGGUUAUCUCCCUAUCUCCCUAUCUCGGAGAUAAUGUCGGUCCCCGUAAUCUCUCUACGAUCGGAACUGAUUGGCGGCACUAAUUGUCGAAGCGUCCGAUCGGGUAGACGUCGCGCUUCGGCCACUGCUCUUUACCGAAUUUCAUCUUCAAGGUUACGCGGAUUCCUGCCAUUUCAACGUCAUCAUCAAAGGUGUAUUACUUCAUCUUUGUUAAGCACGCAUGAUGAAGGUGAAGUCACUGUGCAUCUUUCCGUCACAGACUCAUCUUCGGUGCUGUUCAAUGAGCAGCCCCUGAAGCGACUCGACACCACCUACGGAACACGAGGAUAUUCUUGCUGCAUUCAAGGAGUCAAUCGUCAUAUGUGCCGAGUUUACAACUAUUCAUAAAUAAGUUACCUUAUGCACGUGUGAUUACAUAACUAUAUGCAUCUCUUACAUUCGAGUACAUACAUAUAAUGAUUAGAAUAAAAUUUCACUGUAUAUAAUUGAAAUCAAAGUAUUGUCUGCAUUGACAUGUAUUCUACGCCGAUGAUUUAUCAAUAAACGUUUAC